rnacentral:rRNA from 1 species
GAUUAUGGUCUUACGAGUAGGGCUACACACGUGCUACAAUGGCAUAUACAAAGAGAAGCGACCUCGCGAGAGCAAGCGGACCUCAUAAAGUAUGUCGUAGUCCGGAUUGGAGUCUGCAACUCGACUCCAUGAAGUCGGAAUCGCUAGUAAUCGUGGAUCAGAAUGCCACGGUGAAUACGUUCCCGGGCCUUGUACACACCGCCCGUCACACCAUGGGAGUGGGUUGCAAAAGAAGUAGGUAGCUUAACCUUCGGGAGGGCGCUUACCACUUUGUGAUUCAUGACUGGGGUGAAGUCGUAACAAGGUAACCGUAGGGGAACCUGCGGUUGGAUCACCUCCUAA